rnacentral:rRNA from 1 species
AGCAGCCGCGGUAAUUCCAGCUCCAAUAGCGUAUAUUAAAGUUGUUGCAGUUAAAAAGCUCGUAGUUGAACUUCAGGCCUGGCUGGGCGGUCCGCCUUCCGGGUGAGUACCGCCUGUGGUCGGGUCCUACCUUCUGGCGAAGCGUCAUGGCCUUAACCGGCCGUGGCGGGGAACCAGGACUUUUACUGUGAAAAAUUAGAGUGUUUAAAGCAGGCUCGCGCUUGAAUACAUUAGCAUGGAAUAAUGAAAUAGGACGUUCGAUCCUAUUUUGUUGGUUUCUAGGAUUGACGUAAUGAUUAAUAGGGAUAGUUGGGGGCAUUAGUAUUCAAUUGUCAGAGGUGAAAUUCUUGGAUUUAUUGAAGACUAACUACUGCGAAAGCAUUUGCCAAGGAUGUUUUCAUUAAUCAAGAACGAAAGUUAGGGGAUCGAAGACGAUCAGAUACCGUCGUA